GUGGGGAAUCUUGCGCAAUGGGCGAAAGCCUGACGCAGCCAUGCCGCGUGAAUGAUGAAGGUCUUAGGAUUGUAAAAUUCUUUUACCGGGGACGAUAAUGACGGUACCCGGAGAAGAAGCUCCGGCUAACUUCGUGCCAGCAGCCGCGGUAAUACGAAGGGGGCUAGCGUUGCUCGGAAUUACUGGGCGGAGAGGGCGGGUAGGCGGACAGCUAAGUCAGAGGGGAAAGCCCAGGGCUUAACCCUGGAAUUGCGUUUGAAACUACAAGACUGGAAUUCGGGAGAGGAUAGCGGAAUUGUCAGUGUAGCAGUGAAAUGCGUAGAUAUUGACAGGAACACCAGGGGCGCAAGCGGCUAUCUGGACCGAUAUUGACGCUGAGGCACGAAAGCGUGGGGAGCAAACAGGAUUAGAAACCCCGGUAGUCC
rnacentral:rRNA from 1 species